CAGUCGCCGCGGUAAUACGGAGGGUGCGAGCGUUAAUCGGAAUUACUGGGCGUAAAGCGUACGCAGGCGGUUUGUUAAGUCAGAUGUGAAAUCCCCGAGCUUAACUCGGGAACUGCAUUUGAAACUGGCAGGCUAGAGUCUCGUAGAGGGGGGUAGAAUUCCAGGUGUAGCGGUGAAAUGCGUAGAGAUCUGGAGGAAUACCGGUGGCGAAGGCGGCCCCCUGGACAAAGACUGACGCUCAGGUGCGAAAGCGUGGGGAGCAAACAGGAUUAGAUACCCGUGUAGUCCCUGUCUCUUAUAC
rnacentral:rRNA from 1 species